rnacentral:rRNA from 1 species
GAUGAACGCUGGCGGCGUGCCUAAUACAUGCAAGUCGAGCGAACAGAUAAGGAGCUUGCUCCUUUGACGUUAGCGGCGGACGGGUGAGUAACACGUGGGUAACCUACCUAUAAGACUGGGAUAACUUCGGGAAACCGGAGCUGAUACCGGAUAAUAUUUCGAACCGCAUGGUUCGAUAGUGAAAGAUGGUUUUGCUAUCACUUAUAGAUGGACCCGCGCCGUAUUAGCUAGUUGGUAAGGUAACGGCUUACCAAGGCGACGAUACGUAGCCGACCUGAGAGGGUGAUCGGCCACACUGGAACUGAGACACGGUCCAGACUCCUACGGGAGGCAGCAGUAGGGAAUCUUCCGCAAUGGGCGAAAGCCUGACGGAGCAACGCCGCGUGAGUGAUGAAGGUCUUCGGAUCGUAAAACUCUGUUAUUAGGGAAGAACAUACGUGUAAGUAACUGUGCACGUCUUGACGGUACCUAAUCAGAAAGCCACGGCUAACUACGUGCCAGCAGCCGCGGUAAUACGUAGGUGGCAAGCGUUAUCCGGAAUUAUUGGGCGUAAAGCGCGCGUAGGCGGUUUUUUAAGUCUGAUGUGAAAGCCCACGGCUCAACCGUGGAGGGUCAUUGGAAACUGGAAAACUUGAGUGCAGAAGAGGAAAGUGGAAUUCCAUGUGUAGCGGUGAAAUGCGCAGAGAUAUGGAGGAACACCAGUGGCGAAGGCGACUUUCUGGUCUGCAACUGACGCUGAUGUGCGAAAGCGUGGGGAUCAAACAGGAUUAGAUACCCUGGUAGUCCACGCCGUAAACGAUGAGUGCUAAGUGUUAAGGGGUUUCCGCCCCUUAGUGCUGCAGCUAACGCAUUAAGCACUCCGCCUGGGGAGUACGACCGCAAGGUUGAAACUCAAAGGAAUUGACGGGGACCCGCACAAGCGGUGGAGCAUGUGGUUUAAUUCGAAGCAACGCGAAGAACCUUACCAAAUCUUGACAUCCUUUGACAACUCUAGAGAUAGAGCUUUCCCCUUCGGGGGACAAAGUGACAGGUGGUGCAUGGUUGUCGUCAGCUCGUGUCGUGAGAUGUUGGGUUAAGUCCCGCAACGAGCGCAACCCUUAAGCUUAGUUGCCAUCAUUAAGUUGGGCACUCUAAGUUGACUGCCGGUGACAAACCGGAGGAAGGUGGGGAUGACGUCAAAUCAUCAUGCCCCUUAUGAUUUGGGCUACACACGUGCUACAAUGGACAAUACAAAGGGCAGCGAAACCGCGAGGUCAAGCAAAUCACAUAAAGUUGUUCUCAGUUCGGAUUGUAGUCUGCAACUCGACUACAUGAAGCUGGAAUCGCUAGUAAUCGUAGAUCAGCAUGCUACGGUGAAUACGUUCCCGGGUCU